rnacentral:rRNA from 1 species
GAUCAUGGCUCAGGACGAACGCUGGCGGCGUGCUUAACACAUGCAAGUCGAACGAAGAGCGAUGGAAGCUUGCUUCUAUCAAUCUUAGUGGCGAACGGGUGAGUAACGCGUAAUCAACCUGCCCUUCAGAGGGGGACAACAGUUGGAAACGACUGCUAAUACCGCAUACGAUCCAAUCUCGGCAUCGAGACCGGAUGAAAGGUGGCCUCUAUUUAUAAGCUAUCACUGAAGGG